rnacentral:rRNA from 1 species
UACGAAGGGGGCUAGCGUUGCUCGGAAUCACUGGGCGUAAAGGGUGCGUAGGCGGGUUUUUAAGUCAGGGGUGAAAUCCUGGAGCUCAACUCCAGAACUGCCUUUGAUACUGAAAAUCUUGAGUCCGGGAGAGGUGAGUGGAACUGCGAGUGUAGAGGUGAAAUUCGUAGAUAUUCGCAAGAACACCAGUGGCGAAGGCGGCUCACUGGCCCGGUACUGAC